rnacentral:lncRNA from 1 species
GAAGACUACAGGCUUCCAGGAGCAGGAUAGUGAUCGCUCACACCAAAGCCUUGGACCCCUCCCAGCCUGUGACCUUUGUGAGCAACUCUAACUAUGCAGCAGACAAGGGGGCUCCGUAUGUGGACGUGAUCUGCUUGAACAGCUACUACCUUGGUAUCAUGACUACGGGCACCUGGAGUUGAUUCAGCUGCAGCUGGCCACCCAGUUUGAGAACUGGUAUAAGAAGUAUCAGAAGCCCAUUAUUCAGAGCGAGUAUGGAGCGGAAACAAUUGCAGGGUUUCACCAGGAUCCACCUCUGAUGUUCACUGAAGAGUACCAGAAAAGUCUGCUAGAGCAGUACCAUGUGGUUCUGGAUCAAAAACGCAGAAAAUACGUGGUUGGAGAGCUCAUUUGGAAUUUUGCCGAUUUCAUGACUGAACAGUCACUGACAAGAGUGCUGGGGAAUAAAAAGGGGAUCUUCACUCGACAGAGACAACCAAAAAGUGCAGCGUUCCUUUUGUGAGAGAGAUACUGGAAGAUUGCCAAUGAAACCAGGUAUCCCCACUCAGUAGCCAAGUCACAAUGUUUGGAAAACAGCCCGUUUACUUGAGCAAGACUGACACCACCUGCGCGUCCCUUACUCCCCGAGUCAGGGCAGCUUCCACAGCAGCAGAACAAGUGCCUCCUGGACUGUUCACGGCAGACCAGAACGUUUCUGGCCUGGGUUUUGUGGUCAUCUGUGCUAGCAGGGACCACUAAAGGUGGAAAUAAAAGAUUUUCUAGUAUGGAAAUAAAGAGUUGGCAUGAAAGUGACUACUGAAAAGCAUCUGAAAUCAUUUCUGUGCAUCGCGCUGUUUUCAGAGCCUUAACUGUGUGUGGACUUUCGAGAAACUGCUGCUCCAACACCCCCACCACGUUCAGAGCAGCUGGUUCUCGAGGGCGUCUGCAGGAAUAGCCCCAUGCUCCUAGGGCCACCAUGUUUGUGCAGCACACGGGGCCAGCCUGGACAGGGAGUGAGUAGAAGACUUUCACAGCUGCUGCUCGACUCCUCAGAUGAGCUAAAGUCCCACAUGUACCAACAAACUCAUAGAAAUGCUGUCGUUGCAGCACUUAACAGGGUCUGUGUGCCAGUGUCCACAUAGUUAAGCUGGCAGUGUCUGAAUUGGAAGGUUAGAGGUAACUGGUUCUCCCAGAACAUUGUUCUGACCUCAGCCAUAGGGUCUUGACAGAAAUGGACAGAUGAGUGUAAAAGCCCAUUGGCUUUAUCAUAAUGGAUGCCACUGAAUGUGACAAGACCUCCUUAAACAACUCUGCCUACAAAUCAGCAUUCCAUGCCUUUACACUUCAAAAUGACACCACCUGCCCCCUCCCAGAGCACAGUCUUUCCUUAAGGAAUCUGUCCUCCCUGUUUUCCCAGGCUCCAGUAAGGCAAGGAUGGUGCAUCAAUUCUGAUUUGAAGUAUGUGCUUUGGAAAAAUAUUCCUUUUGGUGUCCAGUCAGUUGAAAGACAAUGAACCAAUACAGUUUUGUUUUGUUUGUUUUGAGACAGUCUUGCUCCAUCGCCCAGGCUGGAGUGCAGUGGCUCAAUCUUGGCUCACUGCAGCCUCCACCUCUGGGGUUCAAGCAGUUAUCCUGCCUCAUCCUCCAAAGUAGCUGGAACUACAGGCACCUGCCACCAUUCCCAGCUAAAUUUUAAAAAAUAUUUUUAGUAGAGAUGGGGUUUCACCAUGUUGGCCAGGCUGGUUUCAAACUCUUGACCUCAGGUGAUCCACUCACCUCAGCCUCCCCAAGUGCUGGGAUUAUAGGCGUGAGCCACUGUGCCCGACCUCCAAUAUGGUUCUUGCUAUAGAACUUGAUUUUCCCCUCUCUUGUGGUUGAGCCCUGUGUCUCCACACAGACCCUCCUUUUUAGCUUUCCUGUGCAAGCUCCAUGAAAGAAAGA